UACGGAGGGUGCAAGCGUUAUCCGGAUUCACUGGGUUUAAAGGGUGCGUAGGUGGGAAUGUAAGUCAGUGGUGAAAUCUCCGUGCUUAACAUGGAAACUGCCUUGAUACUAUGUUUCUUGAAUUUUCUGGAGGUCAGCGGAAUAUGUCAUGUAGCGGUGAAAUGCUUAGAUAUGACAUAGAACACCAAUUGCGAAGGCAGCUGACUACAGGGAUAUUGACACUGAGGCACGAAAAGCGUGGGGAUCAAACGG
rnacentral:rRNA from 1 species